rnacentral:rRNA from 1 species
UACGUAGGGUGCGAGCGUUGUCCGGAAUUACCGGGCGUAAAGAGCUCGUAGGUGGUUUGUCGCGUUGUUCGUGAAAACUCACAACUCAAUUGUGGGCGUGCGGGCGAUACGGGCAGACUGGAGUACUGCAGGGGAGACUGGAAUUCCUGGUGUAGCGGUGGAAUGCGCAGAUAUCAGGAGGAACACCGGUGGCGAAGGCGGGUCUCUGGGCAGUAACUGACGCUGAGGAGCGAAAGCGUGGGGAGCGAACAGG